GGUUAUGGCUCAAUGGUAAAGCACUUCCCUAGGAUGGGUGAGGCCUUGUGUUCAAUCCUCACCACCA
rnacentral:tRNA from 1 species